rnacentral:rRNA from 1 species
UGGGGAAUUUUGGACAAUGGGGGAAACCCUGAUCCAGCCAUCCCGCGUGUGCGAUGAAGGCCUUCGGGUUGUAAAGCACUUUUGGCAGGAAAGAAACGUCAUGGGUUAAUACCCCGUGAAACUGACGGUACCUGCAGAAUAAGCACCGGCUAACUACGUGCCAGCAGCCGCGGUAAUACGUAGGGUGCAAGCGUUAAUCGGAAUUACUGGGCGUAAAGCGUGCGCAGGCGGUUCGGAAAGAAAGAUGUGAAAUCCCAGAGCUCAACUUUGGAACUGCAUUUUUAACUACCGGGCUAGAGUGUGUCAGAGGGAGGUGGAAUUCCUCGUGUAGCAGUGAAAUGCGUAAAUAUGCGGAGGAACACCGAUGGCGAAGGCAGCCUCCAGGGAUAACACUGACGCUCAUGCAAGAAAGCGUGGGGAGCAAACAGG